CCUACGGGUGGCUGCAGUGGGGAAUAUUGGACAAUGGGCGAAAGCCUGAUCCAGCCAUACCGCGUGUGUGAAGAAGGCCUUCGGGUUGUAAAGCACUUUCAGUGGGGAAGAAAGCCUUGGGGCUAAUACCCUCGAGGAAGGACAUCACCCACAGAAGAAGCACCGGCUAACUCCGUGCCAGCAGCCGCGGUAAUACGGAGGGUGCGAGCGUUAAUCGGAAUUACUGGGCGUAAAGCGCGCGUAGGCGGUCUGAUAAGCCGGUUGUGAAAGCCCCGGGCUCAACCUGGGAACGGCAUCCGGAACUGUCAGGCUAGAGUGCAGGAGAGGAAGGUAGAAUUCCCGGUGUAGCGGUGAAAUGCGUAGAGAUCGGGAGGAAUACCAGUGGCGAAGGCGGCCUUCUGGACUGACACUGACGCUGAGGUGCGAAAGCGUGGGUAGCAAACAGGAUUAGAUACCCGGGUAGUC
rnacentral:rRNA from 1 species